rnacentral:snRNA from 1 species
GUGUUGGCUUCAGCAGCACAUAUACUAAAAUUUAAAUGGUACAGAGAAGAUUAGCAUGGUCCCUGUGCAAGCAUGACACACAAAUUCAUGAAACGUUCCAUGUGGAA